ACAUGCAAGUCGAGCGAGCUUGCCUAGAUGAUUUUAGUGCUUGCACUAAAUGAAACUAGAUACAAGCGAGCGGCGGACGGGUGAGUAACACGUGGGUAACCUGCCCAAGAGACUGGGAUAACACCUGGAAACAGAUGCUAAUACCGGAUAACAACACUAGACGCAUGUCUAGAGUUUGAAAGAUGGUUCUGCUAUCACUCUUGGAUGGACCUGCGGUGCAUUAGCUAGUUGGUAAGGUAACGGCUUACCAAGGCAAUGAUGCAUAGCCGAGUUGAGAGACUGAUCGGCCACAUUGGGACUGAGACACGGCCCAAACUCCUACGGGAGGCAGCAGUAGGGAAUCUUCCACAAUGGACGAAAGUCUGAUGGAGCAACGCCGCGUGAGUGAAGAAGGGUUUCGGCCCGUAAAGCUCUGUUGGUAGUGAAGAAAGAUAGAGGUAGUAACUGGCCUUUAUUUGACGGUAAUUACUUAGAAAGUCACGGCUAACUACGUG
rnacentral:rRNA from 1 species